ACCGUGAGGGAAAGGUGAAAAGUACCCCGGAAGGGGAGUGAAAGAGAACUUGAAACCGUGUGCUUACAAGUAGUCAGAGCCCGUUAAUGGGUGAUGGCGUGCCUUUUGUAGAAUGAACCGGCGAGUUACGAUCUGAUGCAAGGUUAAGCAGGAAAUGUGGAGCCGUAGCGAAAGCGAGUCUGAAUAGGGCGAAUGAGUAUUUGGUCGUAGACCCGAAACCAGGUGAUCUACCCUUGGUCAGGUUGAAGUUCAGGUAACACUGAAUGGAGGACCGAACCGACUUACGUUGAAAAGUGAGCGGAUGAACUGAGGGUAGCGGAGAAAUUCCAAUCGAACUUGGAGAUAGCUGGUUCUCUCCGAAAUAGCUUUAGGGCUAGCCUCAAGUGAUGAUUAUUGGAGGUAGAGCACUGUUUGGACGAGGGGCCCCUCUCGGGUUACCGAAUUCAGACAAACUCCGAAUGCCAAAUAAUUUAACUUGGGAGUCAGAAUGUGGGUGAUAAGGUCCAUAUUCGAAAGGGAAACAGCCCAGACCACCAGCUAAGGUCCCAAAAUAUAUGUUAAGUGGAAAAGGAUGUGGCGUUGCCCAGACAACUAGGAUGUUGGCUUAGAAGCAGCCAUCAUUUAAAGAGUGCGUAAUAGCUCACUAGUCGAGUGACACUGCGCCGAAAAUGUACCGGGGCUAAACAUAUUACCGAAGCUGUGGAUUGUCCUUUGGACAAUGGUAGGAGAGCGUUCUAAGGGCGUUGAAGCAUGAUCGCAAGGACAUGUGGAGCGCUUAGAAGUGAGAAUGCCGGUGUGAGUAGCGAAAGACGGGUGAGAAUCCCGUCCACCGAUUGACUAAGGUUUCCAGAGGAAGGCUCGUCCGCUCUGGGUUAGUCGGGUCCUAAGCUGAGGCCGACAGGCGUAGGCGAUGGAUAACAGGUUGAUAUUCCUGUACCACCAUUAUUCGUUUUAAGCGAUGGGGGGACGCAGUAGGAUAGGCGAAGCGUGCUGUUGGAGUGCACGUCCAAGCAGUGAGAUUGAGUGUUAGGCAAAUCCGGCACUCUUAAGAUUGAGCUGUGAUGGGGAGAGGAACUUGUUCCUCGAGUCGUUGAUUUCACACUGCCGAGAAAAGCCUCUAGCUAGAAUAACGGUGCCCGUACCGCAAACCGACACAGGUAGUCAAGAUGAGAAUUCUAAGGUGAGCGAGCGAACUCUCGUUAAGGAACUCGGCAAAAUGACCCCGUAACUUCGGGAGAAGGGGUGCUCUUUGAGGUUCACGCUUCGAAGAGCCGCAGUGAAUAGGCCCAAGCGACUGUUUAUCAAAAACACAGGUCUCUGCUAAACCGUAAGGUGACGUAUAGGGGCUGACGCCUGCCCGGUGCUGGAAGGUUAAGAGGAGUGGUUAGCGCAAGCGAAGCUACGAAUCGAAGCCCCAGUAAACGGCGGCCGUAACUAUAACGGUCCUAAGGUAGCGAAAUUCCUUGUCGGGUAAGUUCCGACCCGCACGAAAGGCGUAACGAUUUGGGCACUGUCUCAACGAGAGACUCGGUGAAAUCAUAGUACCGGUGAAGAUGCCGGUUACCCGCGACAGGACGGAAAGACCCCGUGGAGCUUUACUGUAGCCUGAUAUUGAAAUUCGGUACAGUUUGUACAGGAUAGGUAGGAGCCUUAGAAGCGUGAGCGCUAGCUUACGUGGAGGCAUUGGUGGGAUACUACCCUAAUUGUAUUGGAUUUCUAACCCGCAGCACUUAUCGUGCUGGGAGACAGUGUCAGGCGGGCAGUUUGACUGGGGCGGUCGCCUCCUAAAGAGUAACGGAGGCGCUCAAAGGUUCCCUCAGAAUGGUUGGAAAUCAUUCAUAGAGUGUAAAGGCAUAAGGGAGCUUGACUGCGAGACCUACAAGUCGAGCAGGGUCGAAAGACGGACUUAGUGAUCCGGUGGUUCCGCAUGGAAGGGCCAUCGCUCAACGGAUAAAAGCUACCCCGGGGAUAACAGGCUUAUCUCCCCCAAGAGUUCACAUCGACGGGGAGGUUUGGCACCUCGAUGUCGGCUCAUCGCAUCCUGGGGCUGUAGUCGGUCCCAAGGGUUGGGCUGUUCGCCCAUUAAAGCGGUACGCGAGCUGGGUUCAGAACGUCGUGAGACAGUUCGGUCCCUAUCCGUCGUGGGCGUAGGAAAUUUGAGAGGAGCUGUCCUUAGUACGAGAGGACCGGGAUGGACAUACCUCUGGUGUACCAGUUGUCGUGCCAACGGCAUAGCUGGGUAGCUAUGUAUGGACGGGAUAAGUGCUGAAAGCAUCUAAGCAUGAAGCCCCCCUCGAGAUGAGAUUUCCCAACUUCGGUUAUAAGAUCCCUCAAAGAUGAUGAGGUGAAU
rnacentral:rRNA from 1 species